AUUGAACGCUGGCGGCAGGCCUAACACAUGCAAGUCGAGCGAGCGGCGGACGGGUGAGUAAUGUCUGGGAAACUGCCUGAUGGAGGGGGAUAACUACUGGAAACGGUAGCUAAUACCGCAUACCAUCAGAUGUGCCCAGAUGGGAUUAGCUAGUAGGUGGGGUAACGGCUCACAUAGGCGACGAUCCCUAGCUGGUCUGAGAGGAUGAACAGCACAACUGGAAUUGAGACACGGUCCAGACUCCUACGGGAGGCAGCAGUGGGGAAUAUUGCACAAUGGGCGCAAGCCUGAUGCAGCCAUGCCGCGUGUGUGAAGAAGGCCUUCGGGUUGAAAAGAACUUUCAGCGGGGAGGCGUUACCCGCAGAAGAAGCACCGGCUAACUCCGUGCCAGCAGCCGCGGUAAUAC
rnacentral:rRNA from 1 species